AAGAGGGAGAAAAGGAAGAAAAAAUGUUUUUCAGGGAAGAAGUGGAGGAAAGGAAGGAGGUAUUCUCUCUCUCUCUCUCUCUCUCUCUCUCUCUCUCUCUCUCUCUCUCUCUCUCUCUCUCUCUCUCGACCAGUUUUCCGAUUUUAAAGUUAAUUCCUACUGAUAAAAGUCUUGUUGAAUUGAUAAUGAAGAAAUAAAAAGAAGAAACCAGUCCUGUGUGUGUGUGUGUGUGUGUGUGUGUGUGUGUGUGAGGACUAGCAGGUGCAUCUUGUUAACGUUUAUGCCACACACACACACACACACACACACACACACACACACACACACACACACACACACACACUCUCUCUCACACACACACACACACACUUAGGGAAGGCUCUGCACCCACUUAACUCCACCACUUAUAAAUUACAAGUGUCACCCACGUACACGACCCUCGCUGUGUGGAGGCUACGAUACCCUUGCCUCGCCCUCCCUCACCUCGCUUGUCUUUGCCUUGUAUUAGUGUAUGUUAGAGGGAGGAGGGGAGGGAGGAACUGAAGGUAUGGGAAGGUUAGGUUAUAAGGAAGAAAGGGAAGGUUAGGUUACGUUAGGAUAGAGGGAAGAAAGUAAGGCGAGGGAAAGGUGGGGUGGGUUAAAAGUUAAGUGAAGGUAUGGGAAGGUUAGGUUAGGUUAGGUCAAGGGAAGCUACGAUGCCCUCUGACCUUCCCUUGUCUCGCUUUGUCUUGUAUUCAAUGUAUUUUAAAGGGUGAAGAGGAGCGGAAGGAGAUGGUCAGUGAAUCAGAGAAAAAAUGUAUGAUCACUGAAUGGCAGGAAAGGGAAGAGAAGGAAAGGAUAAAGUCAUGAAAAGGAAAAAAAAGAAGAAAGAAAGGGAAGGAAAGAGUCAAUGAAGAAUAGGGGGAAUAUAUGAUUUAAUGAAUGGGUAGGGAAGGAAGGGAAGGGAAGGGAAGAAGAGGAACAAUGUACAUUUUAAAGAUGGUAUACGGAAGGAAGGAAGGGAAGGAGAGGGACAAAUUGAACACUAGGAGCAAUGUAUAUUUAAGGAAGGGAAGGGAAGGAUCAUAUGGUUAAGGAAGAG